GGGCUCGGAAUAGUGUCAAGA
rnacentral:miRNA from 1 species